rnacentral:miRNA from 1 species
GCAGUGGGUGCAGACAGGCUG